AAGUCGUAACAAGGUUUCCGUAGGUGAACCUGCGGAAGGAUCAUUAAAAGUUGUACCCUUCGGGGCACUUCCACCCCUUGCAAAUAUACCAUCUGCUUGGUCUUCCGGGCCAAAAUUUUACUCUUGAACUUUCUUCUGAAUGAGCACAAAAUGAAAAA
rnacentral:misc_RNA from 1 species